rnacentral:rRNA from 9 species
UGGUGACUAUAGCAAGGAGGUCACACCUGUUCCCAUGCCGAACACAGAAGUUAAGCUCCUUAGCGUCGAUGGUAG